ACGAACGCUGGCGGCGUGCUUAACACAUGCCAGUCGAACGGAAAGGCCCUGCUUUUGUGGGGUGCUCGAGUGGCGAACGGGUGAGUAACACGUGAGUAACCUGCCCUUGACUUUGGGAUAACUUCAGGAAACUGGGGCUAAUACCGGAUAGGAGCUCCUGCUGCAUGGUGGGGGUUGGAAAGUUUCGGCGGUUGGGGAUGGACUCGCGGCUUAUCAGCUUGUUGGUGGGGUAGUGGCUUACGAAGGCUUUGACGGGUAGCCGGCCUGAGAGGGUGACCGGCCACAUUGGGACUGAGAUACGGCCCAGACUCCUACGGGAGGCAGCAGUGGGGAAUAUUGCACAAUGGGCGGAAGCCUGAUGCAGCAACGCCGCGUGCGGGAUGACGGCCUUCGGGUUGUAAACCGCUUUCGCCUGUGACGAAGCGUGAGUGACGGUAAUGGGUAAAGAAGCACCGGCUAACUACGUG
rnacentral:rRNA from 1 species